rnacentral:tRNA from 1 species
GCUCCCAUGGCACAGUGGUCACUGCUCUCGCCUUGCACGCGGGAGACCCGGGUUCGAUCCCCGACGGGGUCA